AUCCAGCUGAAGUUGAACAGAGUUAUGCUCUCUCUUCUUGUUUCAGCUUUCAUACAGAGAUGGCCAGAGCAUAGAUAGGGUGGGGACAAUGCAAUGCAAUGUAAGAAGCCUCAGCUCUGGUGACAGGUGUAUAAGGCUUGAAUUCCAGCAUUGGCAUCGGACCUGGGAACCAUCCCUUUCAAAGGUAAUUAUCAAGGAAGAUGUUGCCUUAUCUUCCAGCCUCUGUAGAACAGCAGGAGUCUGACUUAGGUGGCCACUUUUCUCUAAAUUGAAAAACUAUCUUCUACCAUUAGAGUGAACUGAACAGGCAACCUACAGAAUGGGAGAAAUUUUUUGCAAUCUACUCAUCUAAUCUACAGAAUCUACAAAGAACUCAAACAAAUUUACAAGAAAAAAACAAACAACCCCAUCCAAAAGUGGGCAAAGGAUAUGAACAGACACUUCUCAAAAGAAGACAAUUAUGCAGCCAACAGACACAUGAAAAAAUGCCCACCAUCACUGGCCAUCAGAGAAAUGCAAAUCAAAACCACAAUGAGAUACCAUCUCACACCAGUUAGAAUGGUGAUCAUUAAAAAGUCAGGAAACAACAGGUGCUGGAGAGGAUGUGGAGAAAUAGGAACAAUUUUACACUGUUGGUGGGAUUGUAAAUUAGUUCAACCAUUGUGGAAGUCAGUGUGGUGAUUCCUCAGGGAUCUAGAACUAGAAAUACCAUUUGACCCAGCCAUCCCAUUACUGGGUAUGUACCCAAAGGAAUAUAAAUCAUGCUGCUAUAAAGACACAUGCACACGUAUGUUUAUUGCAGCACUACUCACAAUAGCAAAGAGUUGGAACCAACCCAAAUGUCCAACAAUGAUAGACUGGAUUAAGAAAAUGUGGCACGUAUACACCAUGGAAUACUAUGCAACCAUAAAAAAAGGAUGAGUUCGUGUCCUUUGUAGGGACAUGGAUGAAGCUGGAAACCAUCAUUCUCAGCAAACUAUCACAAGGACAAAAAACCAAACACCGCGUGUUCUCACUCAUAGAUGGGAAUUGAACAAUGAGAACACAUGGACACAGGAAGGGGAACAUCACACAAUGGGGCCUGCUGUGGGCUGCGGGGAGAGGGGAGGGAUAGCAUUAGGAGAUAUACCUAAUGUAAAUGACGAGUUAAUGGGUGCAGCAUGCCAACA
rnacentral:lncRNA from 1 species